CACACACAAACAAAGAGGCGUUAGGCUGAGACGCUGAAAGUCCGGAUUUAAAGUGCAGAAAAUUAAGCCCUUGAAUCUGCCUGUCCAUGACGUACAAAGACACACUAUGAGCCAGUAUGAUCCGACCAGACCUUACAUCAGCAUUGAGGAGUUGUCGGAGAAGAAAGAGGCUGAUUGAAGCGGGACAGAUGACAUGGAUCCAUCCUUCCACAGCCAGGAGCGCACCGACCUGUGUCCCACACUUCAUAUAAGACUGGAAGCUACACUGAUCUCACAGCUACACACCACAGACGUCUACACACUGGAGAAGAUUCAGACAGAGUCCCACAAAGAAGUCAUGACCCAGAGGCUGCAGAGAAACAUUUCAAGCCUCAUCUGAGUUUUUGUACAAUAUUUUUGCUGUAUGUAAAUAAAGCUUUCACUCCACA